rnacentral:rRNA from 1 species
AUUGAACGCUGGCGGCAGGCUUAACACAUGCAAGUCGAGCGGAGAUGAGGUGCUUGCACCUUAUCUUAGCGGCGGACGGGUGAGUAAUGCUUAGGAAUCUGCCUAUUAGUGGGGGACAACAUUCCGAAAGGAAUGCUAAUACCGCAUACGUCCUACGGGAGAAAGCAGGGGAUCUUCGGACCUUGCGCUAAUAGAUGAGCCUAAGUCGGAUUAGCCAGUUGGUGGGGUAAAGGCCUACCAAGGCGACGAUCUGUAGCGGGUCUGAGAGGAUGAUCCGCCACACUGGGACUGAGACACGGCCCAGAGUCCUACGGGAGGCAGCAGUGGGGAAUACUGGACAAUGGGGGGAACCCUGAUCCAGCCAUGCCGCGUGUGUGAAGAAGGCCUUAUGGUUGUAAAGCACUUUAAGCGAGGAGGAGGCUACUGAGACUAAUACUCUUGGAUAGUGGACGUUACUCGCAGAAUAAGCACCGGCUAACUCUGUGCCAGCCGCCGCGGUAA